rnacentral:tRNA from 3 species
GCCCCAGUAGCUCAGGGGAUAGAGCGUCGGUUUCCUAAACCGUGCGUCGCAGGUUCGAAUCCUGCCUGGGGCA